GUAGGGUGCAAGCGUUAAUCGGAAUUACUGGGCGUAAAGCGUGCGCAGGCGGUUUUGUAAGUCUGUCGUGAAAGCCCCGGGCUUAACCUGGGAAUUGCGAUGGAGACUGCAAGGCUUGAAUCUGGCAGAGGGGGGUAGAAUUCCACGUGUAGCAGUGAAAUGCGUAGAGAUGUGGAGGAACACCGAUGGCGAAGGCAGCCCCCUGGGUCAAGAUUGACGCUCAUGCACGAAAGCGUGGGGAGCAAACAGGAUUAGAUACCCUGGUAGUCCACGCCCUAAACGAUGUCUACUAGUUGUCGGGUCUUAAUUGACUUGGUAACGCAGCUAACGCGUGAAGUAGACCGCCUGGGGAGUACGGUCGCAGGAUUA
rnacentral:rRNA from 1 species